UGCCAAUUUUAUCUCCAAUUUAAAAAACUCUUCAAAUCGCCUUUGCGAAUGCUUUACGAAGGAUUGUUCACCCCACUUUUCGCUUACCUCUCUCAUUGUAUGAUUUUGCUCUCAAGUUUCUCUCGUUUUCUCUCGUCAUCUUCCAUCUUCAUCCGAGCGUUUGGCCUGAUUUCUACACAUUUUCCACCAUCGUCAUGAUCUGAAAGAUAUGUGACUCUUUUUCUUGAAUGUAGGGUUCUCACCGGUCGUUUAGGGUUCACACAGUUUAGGAUUCGCUUCUAUCUUUUGUUAAAUGAUCAUCUCUAAACUUUUGUUAAAUGAUUGUAUAUUCGUUCAGAAUCGAUCACUUAGAUAAUCCUAAGCGAGCGUUUAGUGUUUUCAAAACGAUUAGUUAGAAAAACUUAAACAAUCAUUUAGAUAAAGAUAUGCUAUCGUUUAUUUUUUGUUGCACGAUUGUUUAGUUCUUUGUUAUUCGAUGAUUUAGUUUUUUGGUGAUCAUUUAGUUCUUUAUUACGUGAUUGUUUAGUUUUUUUGUUACGCGAUCGUUUAGUUUUAUGUUGCGUGAUCAUUUAGUUCUUUGUUAUGCAAUCGUUUAGUUUUUUGUUACACAAUCUGUUUGUUUUUGUUGCGCGAUCGUUUGGUUAUUUGUUAUGUGAUUGUUUAUUUAUUUAUUUUUUUAGGCGAUAGUUUACUUAUUGUGGUAAUGUAUACGUUUGUUACAAAUUGCUAAGAUGGUCGUCCCUGCUAAGAAAUAUUUUUCUGUUAUAGUUUCUUGCUAAGUCCACAAAACUGCAUUGGUGGUUAAGAAUAAGUUGACAAAAGAGCAUAUGAGAAUGUAUAGGAAAACAGUCUUUGGUCCACUGUUAGAUGUAGAUAUUGUAUUUAAUAAGUAACUUUUCCACCAUUUUCUCUUAAAUAAGGUAACGGAUGUGAACCUAGACGUUAUAUCAUUCAACAUACUGAGGAAGAAGGUAACAUUCUCCUAAGACGAUUUUAAUUUGAUAACUGGGUUGUGGCCAACCAAGGAAAUAGUAGAAAGAGAAACAAGCAAUGAGAGACUGUGACAGCCCAUUCUUGAACCGAAGGACCCAAAUGAUAAGAAUAGUUCUUGCAAGCAUGUGGAGACCUCAUUUGAGAAGUUCACUUUUACAAACAAUGAAGAUGCUGACAAGGUUGCAUUGGCAUUAUUCAUCGAAAUGGUGAUGAUUGGAAAAAACAAGAAAACCCAAUUUGAUGUGAAGACAUUUGGAAGUGUCAAUGACCCUGAAGUCUUUACACAUUAUGACUAGUCAUUCGUCUUUUUUACACGUACAUUGAAUCGCAUGAAGACUAUCAUGCACGGGAAGAAAGAGGCACAUGAGACAAAGAAAGCAAAAAAUGAUCACCAUGCCUUAUAUUACUGUAUAAAGGGAUUUACACUUGCAUUCCAAGUUUGAGCUUACGAAAUUUUAUCCACAUCAAGUAAGUUCAUAGCCACCAAAGUCAGCAAGGCUACAAUUCCUAGAAUUCUUAGAUGGACUUGUCCUCGUCUUCCAUCUUAUAAAUAUUUGAGUAAGAAUGUUUUUCAACUAAAAAAAGCAAUUGAUUUUUCGAGACUUGUACCGAGCGCAAAGAAGAUAAGGUACAAGGAGGACCGACUAGAAGGAUUUGAUGUGAUUCAUGUUGUUGAAGAAAUAAGGAUUGAGGAUGUUGAGAGGCAUGAUCACUCUCUCGAUACUCAUAAGUCAUUUGAGGGACACGAUAGGUUCCAUCGACAUGUUGAGGACCAAGAAUACAUUCCAUUCGAUGAACCCCCAUGUUGUAGAGAAAAAUCAACAGACGAUGAAAUACUUGAACUCCUCAUACAACCGUUCAAUAUUAAGUGCCACUUUGAUUUGAAUUCAACCAACGUUAUGGAGAGUGCAACUCAAAAAGAAGUCAUUGAAAUCAAGGAGAAAAGUGGCCUCCCCAAGCACCGGAAAAGGAAGAAACCAACCAAGUUUUCACUUGAUGAUGUGAAAAUGGGGAAAGUCACAUACGACUAGUAAUAAAGAGGGAAAAGCUCAACCACCUUCAAAUGAUCCUCAUCUUUCAAGUGAUCCUCAACUACCUCUUUCAAGUGAUCCUCAACCACAUCCAAGAGAUCCUUAACUACCCCCUUCAAGUGAUUUUCAACCUCAAUCACCUUCAAACUUUUAUCAAGAAGCUUAACCACAAGCACCUAUGGUGGAAUUGAAACCAGCCACAUGUUUUAUCAAUCUCAACCCCUUGGUCCCUAUACAUGACUUUCCCGUAAGGACCAUUAGUCCCUAUAACCCGUUGUUCCCAAUCUCGGAUGUUCUAUGGAAUGUAUACAAAAAAUGGAAAAGUCAUCUAAAAACUAAAAAUGAGGAGCG